UUCCUACGGGAGGCAGCAGUGGGGAAUAUUGGGCAAUGGGCGUAAGCCUGACCCAGCAACGCCGCGUGAAGGAAGAAGGCUUUCGGGUUGUAAACUUCUUUUGUCAGGGACGAAGCAAGUGACGGUACCUGACGAAUAAGCCACGGCUAACUACGUGCCAGCAGCCGCGGUAAUACGUAGGUGGCAAGCGUUAUCCGGAUUUAUUGGGUGUAAAGGGAGCGUAGACGGCCAAGCAAGCCAGGGGUGAAAGCCCGGGGCCCAACCCCGGGACUGCCCUUGGAACUGCAUGGCUGGAGUGCGGGAGG
rnacentral:rRNA from 1 species